rnacentral:rRNA from 1 species
CCUACGGGAGGCAGCAGUGAGGAAUAUUGGACAAUGGGCGCAAGCCUGAUCCAGCCAUGCCGCGUGCAGGAUGACGGUCCUAUGGAUUGUAAACUGCUUUUGCACAGGAAGAAACACCCCCUCGUGAGGGGGCUUGACGGUACUGUGAGAAUAAGGAUCGGCUAACUCCGUGCCAGCAGCCGCGGUAAUACGGAGGAUCCAAGCGUUAUCCGGAAUCAUUGGGUUUAAAGGGUCCGUAGGCGGUUUAGUAAGUCAGUGGUGAAAGCCCAUCGCUCAACGGUGGAACGGCCAUUGAUACUGCUAGACUUGAAUUAUUAGGAAGUAAACUAGAAUAUGUAGUGUAGCGGUGAAAAUGCUUAGAGAUUACAUGGAAUACCAAUUGCGAAGGCAGGUUACUACUAAAUGGAUUGACGCUGAUGGACGAAAGCGUGGGUAGCGAACAGGAUUAGAUACCCUGGUAGUCCACGCCGUAAACGAUGGAUACUAGCUGUUGGGGGCAACUUCAGUGGCUAAGCGAAAAGUGAUAAGUAAUCCCACCUGGGGAGUACGUUCGCAAGAAAUGAAAACUCAAAAGGAAAUUGAACGG